rfam:Lactobacillus oligofermentans DSM 15707 = LMG 22743 strain DSM 15707 NODE_75, whole genome shotgun sequence.
UAAAGUUAUAAGUCCAUUCCCGAUAGGAUUCACGCCUGUGAAGAUGCCUUGUAACCGCAAUUAGAGAUUCAUUUAUUUUGAAUUUCAAACCGCAAAUAGGGGGAAUUUUUUAUG